CUACGGGAGGCAGCAGUAAGGAAUAUUGGUCAAUGGACGCAAGUCUGAACCAGCCAUGCCGCGUGAAGGAUUAAGGUCCUCUGGAUUGUAAACUUCUUUUAUAUGGGACGAAAAAAGGUCUUUCUAGACCCCUUGACGGUACCAUAUGAAUAAGCACCGGCUAACUCCGUGCCAGCAGCCGCGGUAAUACGGAGGGUGCAAGCGUUAUCCGGAUUCACUGGGUUUAAAGGGUGCGUAGGCGGGUAGGUAAGUCAGUGGUGAAAUCCUGGAGCUCAACUCCAGAACUGCCAUUGAUACUAUCUAUCUUGAAUAUUGUGGAGGUAAGCGGAAUAUGUCAUGUAGCGGUGAAAUGCUUAGAUAUGACAUAGAACACCCAUUGCGAAGGCAGCUUACUACGCAUAUAUUGACGCUGAGGCACGAAAGCGUGGGGAUCAAACAGGAUUAGAUACCCCGGUAGUC
rnacentral:rRNA from 1 species